rnacentral:lncRNA from 1 species
AUGUGGGACGGUGCCGUCAGCAGGGACUGCUGGCGCUGGUGCUCACACAGGAAGUCCCCGGCACAGCUGCCUUCCAGAGCCUCUGCCACGUCGCUUCCGCCACCACGUCUGCCGGGUCAUCCAACGCCCGGACAUGCUGGCGUGGCCCUGGCCCUGAUGACCCUGGCGUGCCACUGUCGCAGCCUCGGGGUGCUGAGACGCUCCCCAGCUGGUCAGGCUGAGGUUCUUACUGAAGGCCGUCUAAGGAGCUCCUGUCUGCAGAGGUCGGACGUCCCCGCCGCGAGGCCCUGGUGCUGCCGUGUGGUGAGCGGUGCGUCCGCUCCCUCUGCAGCCUGGAAACCCGAGGGCAGCGCCCCUCAACCUCCCUGUGCGGGGCCGGCACUGUGGCUUAGCGGGUGAAGCUGCUGCUUGCAGUGCCAGCGUCCACACGGCUCCAGUCCCAGCUGCUCCACUUCCGAUCCAGCUCUCUGCGGUAGCCUGGGAAAGCAGUGGAAGACGGCCCAAGUCCUUGGGCCCCUGCACCCGUAUGGCGUGGGUGAGCCUAUUCUCGGCACUUGGGAAUCUUCUAGAUGAGAGGGCUCGUCCAUGAGAGGACAGAUGGAGCUGGGAGCGCUAGCCAGACCUGCCCUGGAGGGGCGGUGUCCUGGAAACCGUGGGAGAAGGAUUUGGAAAUGAAAGCCAGCAGCUGUACAAUGGGGACUUCCCAGGGGUCCCCAGGCCGGAGGCAGCAGUAGCGGCCCCUAGGGGCUGCUCCCCUGACUCCCAAGAAGACACCCGGCCCUCGCUCAGGCCACGUUUCUCCUAGGCUUCGUUCUAAACUAUGGAUUUUCUAGUCUGUGGUGGAAAAGAAACGGCAAAUCAGAAGGUGGGGGUGGGGGUGGGGCUGUGAGACACCGAGGCAGAGGAUGGAGAAACCCGAACAGGAAGCGCAGACUUGGGUCCUUCGAAUGCCGGGUAAGAGAACAGCCGAUUCCCCUCCCCAGGCAGGUGCAGCUGUUUAACCUUCCUGGUUGAUGGAUGGAGUGGAGGGAGGGGCCAGGAGUUGGGGCUGCUGGGAGGCCUCUAGGGCCCUGGGGGCAGCCCUCAGGUGGAGGGUGUUCUCCAUGGAGCCUUGGUGAUUAUUUGAGCUCAACUUCAGCCUGGCCUCUCUCCUUCCUGGCUCACCAGGCGAUGGCACCUCUGCACCUGCUACUGCGAGCUGAAAUGCCCCCCCCCCCCCCCCGGGAAGCUCCGCUCAGAUAUUUCAGUUGAAGACAUGAGAAGCAGGCUACGGCCCCCACCAGUGGCCUGUGGUCACCACUUCACACUCUAACAGUGCGUACCUGUACUGCGGCCUGCAGUGAUCGGCACAGUUAGGGCACGCUUUACGUCCUCGGUUCAAAAUCAUGGGAUGAGCAGGGCUCAGAAGGGUUUUUGAAAUAAAAAAUACACUUUGUAUCA